rnacentral:lncRNA from 1 species
UAUUACACAGAUGAAGACCGUUGUCGCUUCAGUCAUGUGGAGCUUUGACAUGGAGGUGUUUGGUGAUCAAGGCAUCGAGCCGAAGCUAUCUUGUCUUCUGCAAAUGAAGAAUGGGCUCAAACUGAAAGUACAGAAGCGAGAAAUGUAAUAUCUUGGGAUUCAUGAGAAUCUAUCAGGAUGAGAGAUUUAGAAAAUGAUUUUGGAUGAAUUGAGGCAUCCGUUCCACCGUCUUUUCACAACUAUAGUAGGGAGAGAGAGCAUUUGCCAACAACUAAGAUAUAGGAAACAUAAUAUAAGUUUCUUUUGAGCAAUAUAAUUUACUUUAUGCUUUAUUUUUUCCUUGUAUCAAAUCUUGUAGGUUCAGUUUUAGUACGACAAAACCUUUUCCCCUUUUGUUAUGCUUGUCUUGAAGAAAGACUUACAUACAUAUGAACUUUACAAGGAAGUUAGAAAUGUUGUCAUGGGAAGCAAAAAAAAAAAGAUGCAAUCAAAACUAAUGACUUCUUCGCCACACGGAGUUUUUAUUGGUGGUACAUCAAGAGAAAACUGUGCAGCAUAUUUGAUAUUCUUUCUGGCCAUGGAAUUAAUAGCAAAACAAACAAAUAUACAUAAAGUUAUUUUGAUGAUAACAAAGAAAAUUAGUCAGCCAACUUGGGGUGAACCCAAUUGACACUAUAAUAGUAUUGUUAAAGACAGAGUUCAAAUUGAUGUAAAAAAACACAUUCAUAAAAGAAGCAACAGCAAGUACAACUUACGAUGCAAGAAAUUCGAGCAAAUUAAGGCAUGGAGGAUACAAGUGAUGCAACCAGCUGACAUCAUUCUACUGGCUAGGUAGCUACUGCAUGCAUGACCAACCACCGGCCCGUAAUAUAGCUUAUUAGUUAAGCUCCGGCGAAAAACUAUGGAACGGUAACAAUGUCACUUCAUUGCAGGAUUUACAAAUAUCACUUUCUUCGUUGCAGGAUUAAUUUAUGUAUCCAAAUUCUGGACGACCGCACCGCUGUGCUGAAUGUAUGCUUUCUUGUCCUCAAGCGAAAUCUUCUUCCUCCCUGCUAACUAAAAUCUUCAAACGCACCAUGAAGACCUAAAACUUUCGAGAUUCGCUAUUGCACAAUCGGCUGAGAAAUAAUAAUUUCUCAGUCGACUCUAUGAACCGUCGAUUCAUGUGCGAUCCGUGCACUCUCAAAUUUGUUCAGGCUUGUUUGGAAUUUCAGAUUGUUGUUGUGCGCUUGUGCUGUUUGUAGCAGGCCCGUCAGAAGUCCUAGCAGGUGCAGGUGUAUGGAUGGCAACUGAGAAAUAACUAUUUCUUAGUCGAUGAUAACAACUUUUUGAUUCAAUCAUUGAGAUUCGUGUAAGAUUAAUGUUGAUCCGCUAGAUAAGAAAGUCUUAUUGGAUGGCUACAAAUGUCGAUUGAGAAAUAACUAUUCUUAUGCGACCGAGAAAUAGACACUCCCUGUAAAAAUUGUAAGUGUAGUUCAUGUGUUUUUUUUCAAAACAAAGAUAGUUUCUUUUUUUAUCACUAAAUAGCAGUCAAGUGUAACUUUCUGUACUAAUGUUUUGCAAUUGCAACCUAGCUUCACUAAUUAUAAGUGUAAUUUUUGUCUUAUCUUUUUUCUUCUUAAUCCUAAUAAAAAUAGCGGUCAAAUGUAAUUUUGUGUGCUAGUAUUUUGCAACUACAACCUACCUUCAGUAAUUAUAAGUGAAUUUUUGUGUGCUUACUUUUCAAUAAUUAUAAGUAAUUAUAAUUAUACUUUAAUACGUUGCAACAGAAGGCCCCUUUGCUAGUAGAUGUUUAUUAUGUGAGUCAGUGGCAGAAUAGAUGUUUAUAUGUUUUGUCAAUUCUCAAAAAGGGAAGAUUUUCUCUCGCGGCAGUAUUCGAUGGCUCUUGCUACUCCUUGCCCACAUUUGGGCAGAAAUUGAGCUUCGGGGAUCCCCUUGAAUUCAAUCUUUUCUACAUAUGCAUCCAAACAACUGAAAUAGUUGUAUAGCUGCAAGAUCUGAAUGAGUAGGGGAAAAUCGCCAAACCCUAGAAUGCGUCAACCUAGCGAAAGUGCCAAAAUAAAAUAAAAAUAGCAGAACAGAGGUCAGAUCUAACCUUGGCUGCCUGCCACCUGAUCUCGCACUUCAUGAAUUCGCAGCCGUAGUCCGCGUGAGAGGUACUAGCCCGUACUUAUGCCAUGAGUGCGGCAGAGCAGAUGAGCUUCCACGAGACAUCAUGGUGGUCCAGUCUCAACAUAGCAGUCGCCCUUGUCGCCGUUGA